GACGAACGCUGGCGGCGUGCUUAACACAUGCAAGUCUAACGGAAAGGCCCUGCUUUUGUGGGGUGCUCGAGUGGCGAACGGGUGAGUAACACGUGUGUAACCUGCCCUUGACUUUGGGAUAACUUCAGGAAACUGGGGCUAAUACCGGAUAGGAGCUCCUGCUGCAUGGUGGGGGUUGGAAAGUUUCGGCGGUUGGGGAUGUACUCGCGGCUUAUCAGCUUGUUGGUGGGGUAGUGGCUUACCAAGGCUUUGACGGGUAGGCGGCCUGAGAGGGUGACAGGCCACAUUGGGACUGAGAUACGGCCCAGACUCCUACGGGAGGCAGCAGUGGGGAAUAUUGCACAAUGGGCGGAAGCCUGAUGCAGCAACGCAGCGUGCGGGAUGACGGCCUUCGGGUUGUAAACCGAUUUCGCCUGUGACGAAGCGUGAGUGACGGUAAUGGGUAAAGAAGCACCGGCUAAAUACGUG
rnacentral:rRNA from 1 species